rnacentral:rRNA from 1 species
GACGAACCGAGCGAACGUUGUUCGGAAUCACUGGGCUUAAAGGGCGCGUAGGCGGCUUACCAAGUAAGGGGUGAAAUUUUGCGGCUUAACCGUAACAGUGCCUUUGAUACUGGUAGGCUCGAGGGAGGUAGGGGUCCGCUGAACUUCUGGUGGAGCGGUGAAAUGCGUUGAUAUCAGAAGGAACGCCGGUGGCGAAAGCGGCGGACUGGAUCUCUUCUGACGCUGAGGCGCGAUAGCUUGGGUAGCAAACGGG